ACCCUCUCAGCUCUGCCCAGUUGCACCAGACGUCAGUGGCGCACCUGUCGUUUAUCGAGAGGAAAAGUAAACUGGUUCCUGUUUGCACGGCAGUGAGACUUGGUGGUCUCCCUGUUCCUUUUCAGAACCCACAGAG
rnacentral:snoRNA from 1 species